CGCAGCUGUGGGAAGAGAUCUUCUGCUCGCGCUGCUCCUCGCACUCAGCACCGCUGCCCCGCUACGGGCAGGUGAAGCCGGUCCGAGUGUGCACCCACUGCUACAUGUUCCACGUCACGCCCUUCUACAGCGACAAGGCCGGCCUGUGACGUGGUGCCAGGGGCAGCCCCAACCCACCCGGGCCAGGAACCCCCAGGAAGGUGGGGCCACGCUGCAGGCAGGUCUCACUGCGUCUCAUGAGGCCGCUGCCGCUGCUGCAGGGGCACCCAGACCUCCAGAGCAUCCAGAGCCUCUGUCCUGCCCACCCUAGCCUCCCUGCAGGGACCCCGGGCCGGCUGCAGGGGCCAAAAAGAGGUCAGCUUUGCCCGCAGGGGACCCGGAGGAGCCUGGUGGCUGCCUCAGGGCAGGGUGCCUGGUGGAGAAGGGCUGGGCCCUCCCACUGGUCCCUCGGAGAUCUGCUGGGGCUAUGGGAAUCGGGGCGGGUGAUGGAGGUGUACAAGAGUGGGGCCACUCUGCCGCCUCUGCUGUUGCGGUGAAUCUGGAAGCCAGAGCAAGGGCCACUCCACAGGCUCUUUGGCACAGCAGGGCUCCCUAUGUGCCUCCCAAACCUCAAAUGCAGGCUACCCAUUCUCCCCAUCAGCUGCCCACCUCGUUCCCCAGCCCUCACCCCUCACCCCUCACCAUCCUUCCUCAGGACUUGGCUAAACAACAUGCAUCUCAUUUCUUCUUGGAGUGGGGAGAUGCGGGAAGCUGACCCAGUGGUCCUCUAGGCAGGCAGGGUGCUCCUGGUGUCUGCCCACCACUGUCCCCUUGCUGAUGGCGUGGGGGUCCGACCAGGCACUGACACCGCAGGCAGAGGUUGCUCGGGGCCUUGGGUCGGGUUUACCAAUCAGCCAGGACGCCCGGGGCCACGAGCUCAGCCACCACUUCCCCUUCCCUCUGCACCCUCUGGAACCCUGGCCCAAUUCCUCAGACCCCAGAGUGGCCUGGGACCCAAGCUGCCACAGCUGAGUGGCCCCAGCGGACACCUCCUCAGGCUUAAAUCUCAGGCUUCACAUUGCAAUGACGAUUGCAGUUUUAUUUUUGGAGAUGACACACCUACUGCUUCUUUUCUAGGAUAAAUCUAAUUACUGUUUACUGGUGGAGUACAUAUGCAUAGAAACGGCUUCUGUCGGGGGGAGAGUAUAUAAUGGAGGAAAUAUUAUGUAUUGAGAUUAUAUUUAUUUUCUAAAUGCUGUAAUUUGA
rnacentral:lncRNA from 1 species